AAUACAAUUAUUUUUCACUCGUUAACAAACAAUCGUAGUUAAUUGUUGUUUCUGUCAUUUCGCAACGCGCAACAAUUAUAAAUCGAUACAUUCGAUUAUACAUUCGAUGAUCGUUUACCAACAACCUGAACUGGAAAUUCGAGAGAAUCGGAAAGUACAUAUUCGACCGGUAUCGGGGGAGGUUUCGAUAUUUUCAUUGGAUACGAAAUCUCGAAAGUCGAUUCGAUACACUACACGUUCGUACACACGGUCUAACUUCGAAUCGGUUUAGCGAAAAUCGGAAAUGUUUGUACGUUACUAAUAGUUCAAAUUGAUAAAUUUGCAAAUUUAUCAAGGCCUCGUCCAAAGUUUGCCAUCUUUCCUCGUGAAAAUUUUGACGGUUUAGGGGUACGCAUACUAUCGUGUACAAUUUUACAACCAAUAAUCGACAUUUAUAUUAACAAACCGAAAGCAGAAAGAUUAGAACCAAGGAGAAAUACUCGUGACUAGAUGUAUCAGUGGCGUGAUAGGUGAAAGGUUCAAUGAAUGUUGGCAGCUCCCUCUCGAGAUAUAUCGAGAAUCCCUUUUUUUUCAACUAAUCGAAAAGGUUCGAUUCGAGAAUUCAUCUUCGGUUUUAUUCCAGAUUACGAACAGCGAAAGAUUUUCAACAGAAAUUUCGUAGAAUCGGUGAUUUCUUAAUUCAUGAAAAUCAGUAACAAUAUUCGAACAUCGAGAAAAAUUCUCUUUCUCCGCAAGUUUAUUAGCAUGUUAGAAUCGAAACAUCACGUUCUAGGAUUCAAUUUGUCUAUACAGCUUAUAAUACGAAAUAAUGACAGGAAGAGGUAUAUAAACACAUGUAUUUAAUUCGUCGAUUCAGAAAAAAAAGAAAGAAAAACCACCUACCAUGUACCAAAGAUAAAACGGUACAGACUGGCACCGAUUAAAUCUUAACGGAAUCUAGCUAGAAUCGCUUAUCUAGCAGGUAUAUAUCUAGCUGCCGUAUAUGAGCAUCCUUUCAAGGAUAACAUCGACAGGAUGUUUAAGCCUUUCUCGUUCGAUGACGUAUCCUCAAUAAUAUUGGCUUUCAACUACAGAAGCACAAGGACGGCAUCUGAAUCCGUACGAAACAAUGUUCCGGAAUUCGAAUAGAAUCGUAGCCAAGAUGAACCGUAUCAUCAGAGGCCGAAAUUGGCAACAGUUUGCGACGAACGGUGUAAAACAAAUUGAAAAAAAAAAAACGGAAAAGAAAACGCGAAGAUAAAUGCAAGAAAAAAAAGUAUAAACAUCUUCGUUUCAUAUCAACGCACGCGCUUCGAAGGUAUUUUAAUAUUUCUCGUCACGAAUUACAGAGAAACGUGUCCUCGGUAAGAAAACAGAUGGUCCUUUGGAGACAACCAUUCGGACGACCGUCAUCGGAGGUUGCGAAUUUUCUCAUCUGUCUGUGGCCGCGCAUCAUGAACGGAGGUGCGCUGUGUCGCCAGCAAGAGAAACGGAGAAAGACAACGAACGAGUCAGAGUGAGACGCAUCGAGAAAAGAGAAGAACGGGGAGACAGAGAUGGAGUGCACCGUUCGUACCAGGCGGUGCGCCCUGGUACCAACGGCACGCCGUGUCGGUAGACUCGGCCAGACUUAUGUUAGCGAGACGCAAUCAGGAGUCACGGAGAGUCACGGAGAGUCAUGGAGAGUCACGGAGAGUCGCGGAGAGUCUAGGAGGGGAAUAAGCCAGAGAGAAGUGCGCUCGCCUACCUUCGUUUCUCGCCGCAAUCUUUUUUGUACGAUCCUCUCGCGACCUUCUCUAGCCAACAGACUCGAUAGAUACUCUCCUUAUGAGAAAAUCUUCACUCUCUUCGAGCUCGACACGAGGUCGAAUGAAUCAUCAGCGACAUAAACCGAGAAUCUGAAAGAGAAAGAUCGAACGUUGUUCUAUCGAGACUUCCAUCUUAAAAAGAACUCGCGAAGCGAUCCACAAUGUUGACUCGACGAAGAAAAAAGGCUAAAAGGCAUAACGAUGUAUCCGAACAGGCCGUAAUUCGUGUCCAAGAUGGAAUCGAAGAAUCUUUAAUGUCGUGUAACGGGUGACCGAUAAAUGCAACCUUGUCCCGAUUCUGCCUGACCAAUGUAGAUUCUCCCGAUGAAAGAACGAUGACCCGAAAACUUUGUCUCGUCGAACAUCAAAACGAGAAUUUAAGAAAUCUCGGUUCCAAAAGACCGAUGACUGAAGCUGGUAUCGCGACAUACAAAGCGUGCUGGAGGACAUAGAAACAAAGAAAUAACAACUGCGAGAAAGAGAAGAAAAGAGGAGAAAAGUAUAGAGAAGGCAGAAGGAGAACGUAGAAUCGGGGAUGCAUGGUCCCGCUAUCCGGUCGGCCGCUAAGCCGAGGUCAAUGAACCUCGGCCCGCCUACCGACUUUACCUGCCAGCCUCGAACCUGCCAACCUGGCUAACUCGCUCCACUCCAAAGGAAGAAAAAUAUGACUUUCGAACGAUAAAAAGAGUUUUAGGACAAAACGCCGACUACAUUUUAUUCGAGUCAUUCAUAUUAGAAAUUUGAUCGCAGAACGCGAAGAAGAAGACGAUUUUAUAAGACGAUAUCGAAGACAAACUAUGAAUUCUCCAUAAACCGCUGAACUUGAUCUACUGUGAUACGGCGAACCUUUCACGAGUUCAGAGAAGUCCAUCGACCUUGAACUGGAGGGAUACAGGAAAAAACAUCUUUAAAACAAACAAGAUCUCGAUACUCGAAACUUUUGCCUCUUACACAAGCAAUAUUUCAAACGCGGAAUAGAAUUAUUUUUAUAAUUUCUCUUCUAACGCGUUCAAAUAAUUGCACAGACGAAUCUAAUCGCGGCUUAGCUAUGGAUUAAAUUCUUUAAUCUUUAUGCUAAUCAGCUAUCCAUAUUUACAGACACAACUUGGCAACUACUGCCGACAAUAACAGUUUAUGAUCCGUUCGCGUAAACUCGUCGAACAAGAAUGAGUUAAUUCUUGGUUUUCAACUUCGAUAUCGCUUCCAUUCAAUAGUUUCAUUUCGCAAACGUUUUAUGUGUUUACAGAAUCCUUAUGCGAUCUAGUGGCUGAACAGAACGCUUUGAAACGUAAAAUUGUCGUUAUUCGUCUAAGAAAAUUGAUAUUCGACAGUGGGAAUAUGGAUUAAACAAUUCCAUCGACUUGGCCAAGCGAAAAGUUCCGAUACGCGUGGUCUUCUUCAUUUUUUUCCUCGAGGUCAAAGGAAACGAUGUUUCCUGAAUACACAAGAGGGAUAGCGGUAAAUCGAUGGAAAAUUAAACUCGUGAUCGUGGGGAAAGGUUAAUGAAAUCAUUCGGAAUCUGUUCAUUAAAAUUUCGAACAGUAAUUCCAGGUUAUUAUUGCAAAAGCGAGUAACGAGGCUGGUAGAUCCUCCUGUACGGUGCAUGUGCAGUUAUUAGUACGAGAAAAAGAAGUGGCACGAAUCAGUGGGUCGAUGAAACCCAAGAACCUUGCACUCAACAGUUGCCUGAGUUUGUAAGCUGAUUCCUUAUUUCUUCUUCCAAAGAAGGAGAAAGUUCUUCUUCUGUUGAUUAACAGGGAGACAACUUGAAUGCGUACACUUGAAAUUUUCAUACCUGCUUUUUUUCUUUUUACGGUUAAGCAACAGUAACGUAACGAUGAAAACUUCGAUAAAAUCCUAUCUGGAACGUGGAAGAAGCACAGGGAAUAGGAAUCAUCGAGAAUUCGGAGCAUUCUGUUGAUCAUGUUUACUACAAGUUCGAAAAACCGGUUUUCCUCUCACCAUAAAACUUGGACCUGUGGAUGGUGCAUUAGACGCUCCGUGUUACGGUAGCUCUCGAUCGUAUCGAUCAUUUCAUUAUUUCCAAUCGAACAUUGGAUCUAACAGUAAGUAUAUUUAAAAAGUUUUUAUUCUUCGUUACAAUAUUAAUUAAAAGAAGAAAAAAGAAAACAAAUCCAAAUGGUAACUUUAAGUGUAAAAUGAAAUGAUGUCAUUCGAAUUCUUCGCAAUAAAUCAUCGAGGAAUUAAAACAAUUCGAUCGCUUACCUACUUUUUUCACGUAAGUUUCUAAAAAAUCACCUAUCUAUUCGACGAAUAUACGAAUAUCCCUGAUCUGCCUUCUAUUAAACUGAAAAGUAAAUCUUAUAGAGACGAAAAAGAAAAAGGAGGGGAAUUUUCCAUCGUUUGGUUCUCAAAAUAACCCGAUCAGUUUACACACAAACUAAUCCUACAGGUGAAACCGGUUCUGUAAAAAUUGCGUGCGUGACCUGGUGUGUUCGUCCGUGUUUAUUUCGUUUACCGCCACGAUCUUCCAAGUGUUGGUCGCGUCUCCUUCGAAUCGAUUAACGAAUCAGCAAACGCGUGAAAACGUUUGGAAAUCGUAUACGAUAUCCUGGUGUCGCGGUUUAUUCGAAUCUACAAUGGGUUCGUAUGAAUAUUAACCAAACGUUACUUCUGCGCUGAUUAAAAUUUCUUUUCUUCUUUCAAUGUACAUUUACAUGUAAAGUGCGUAUGCAUAUACGUACAUGAUUUGAUUAAUCGUCGAAAAAUGGCUAUUUUUACAACAGACUAGUAUGCAGGUGUUGUAUAUUUCGCUUCGGUCGAUCGAGCCAAACCGUUCCUGUAUCCACGACAUAAUGAUCAAUUCAGGUAAAUAACUGCAUUGUGUCCGUGCAAGAAAGAUGAACGGUAAUUCGUUCACUGCUAAAUUUAACUUCCCGUACUCGGAAAGGUCAACACUUUACAUUUUACAGAAGUUCACCUUCGAAUCUCGAGGUCAAUGUUUAUUGUCUUCUUUUUCCCUCGUGCAUCGCUUAAUGUUCUUACUUAAAAUAAAUAAGAACAGGACAUUUUUCCCAUCGCAAAAGUCUGCUUGUUCGUAUUCAAAAUUUAUGCGACUAUUUUACAUGAGCUAAGACGGUAUAAAAAAAUAAACAUAAUCAAUUGAAUUUUGUCAAAAAGUCUAUACUGUCCAUUAACUUUCGACUCCUGGUGACUUUUAGAGCGCUAAGUAUUAAGAUCUCUCUAGUUGUAUAAAAGAAAAGUCGGGCGACAGCGUGUGUAACGGUAAAUUCAACUUGAUUCGUUAACUGCAUUCCCAUGCGAGGUGGGAUUUUUGAAAAGUCGGACGUUCGACGAAAACCACGCGAUAAGUCGCACACCUAGCGGGAAGCGGAGAAAGCAGCACCCAGCGGAUGAAAAACCGACCACGAUCUCAACGUAACUUGGCGUUUUUAACAGCAAAACAGUCGUUAGAAUUUACAAACCCCAAGAAAACUAGUCGAUAUUAUUGACAGAAGGAUACAGGUAUACAAUGGAGUAAAUUCGAUCGUUCGAAAGCUUGAAUAUUCGGAACAUUUCUAAACGCGCAGCUCGUUCAAACGCGGGGCUCCCCUUUUAAGCGUGGGAUCUGGCAAAAGGCGGCACGUUUUCGACCGGAGAAUGAUAAAGGCCUUGAAAGGGUUCACCAAAGUAAUUUCCACGAGUUUUUUCUAUAUCGCAACAUUUCACGAUUUUCUCGCAUAACAAUGCGAGCUAUGUCGAACGAAAAAAUCGUGUACCUAAGAAUACACCUGCAUUCGAAGAAAGAGGAAAAGAGAAUCAAUUGUCCUUAGUUCACGAAAGCAAACAAAUUUCUAUUCAUCCGUUUGAACAAAGGCAAGUGAGAGUACACAUCUAACUUUACAGAAUUAGUAAUUAACUUGAAUGUACACGAAGCAGUGGAAUUAACAAACGUUCAGCAUUUCUUAUUACAGUAUUGUUCUGUUGUUCGGCGAAAGGGAAAUAACACACAGGGCUGUAAUCAAUUGUUUUUCAUCUAAAGCAGGUACAUACAUAUACUUUCCUACGAUGUACACAUUUUACAGGAACAUGCAAUCGUAACAUUUAACUAUCGAACGAUUCGAUAUUUGAUAAAUUAAUAUCGAAAAUCAUUGAUUCUCUUGCGCGUAAACCUGAAUUCCCUUACCUAAUCUGAUGGCGGCAACCUGUGCAAUCCCGACUAACACUAGUAUCAGCGGAAAUCCGUCGAGGAGCGAGUACAAAG